rnacentral:rRNA from 1 species
AACGAACGCUGGCGGCAUGCCUAACACAUGCAAGUCGAACGAGACCUUCGGGUCUAGUGGCUCACGGGUGCGUAACGCGUUGGAACCUGCCCUUAUGUUCUGAAUAACUCCCCGAAAGGGGUUCUAAUACCUGAUAAUGUCUUCGGACCAAAGAUUUAUCGCCUUUGGAUGGGCCCGCGUUUGAUUAGCUAGUUGGUAGGGUAAAAGCCUACCAAGGCGACGAUCCAUAGCUGGUCUGAGAGGAUGAUCAGCCACACUGGGACUGAGACACGGCCCAGACUCCUACGGGAGGCAGCAGUGGGGAAUAUUGGACAAUGGGCGAAAGCCUGAUCCAGCAAUGCCGGGUGAGUGAUGAAGGCCUUAGGGUUGUAAAGCUCUUUUACCCGGGAUGAUAAUGACAGUACCGGGAGAAUAAGCACCGGCUAACUCCGUG